rnacentral:rRNA from 1 species
AGUGAACGCUGGCGGCAGGCCUAACACAUGCAAGUCGAACGACCCUUCUGAGCUACGUGGCUGUCCUGGGAGGCACCCGUGGGACCGUCCCUUAAGGUCCGGAAUAACACAUCGAAACUUGUGCUAACACCGAGUGUACGCAUCGAGUGCAAGAUUAAUCCCCUGUCUAGAGGCCGGCGUAAUAUUAGCUAGUUGGGAGAGGUAACGGCUCACCAAGGCGACGUUCAGUAGCUGGUCUGAGCGGAUGAUCAGCCACAUUGGUACUUAUACACGGCCCAAACUCCUAAAGGAAGCAGCAAUAGGGAAUCUUGCGCAAUGGAAGAAAGCCUGACGCAGCCAUGCCGCGUAAAUAAUGAAGGUCUUAGGAUUGUAAAAUUCUUUCACCGGGGACGAUGAUGACGGUACCCGGAGAAGAAGCUCCGGCUAACUUCGUG